GCCCGGGUGGCGGAAUUGGCAGACGCGCACGGUUGAGGGCCGUGUGGUUCACACCGUACGAGUUCAAAUCUCGUCCCGGGCACCA
rnacentral:tRNA from 1 species